UACGUAGGGUGCGAGCGUUAAUCGGAAUUACUGGGCGUAAAGCGUGCGCAGGCGGUUCGCCAAGUCAGGUGUGAAAUCCCCGGGCUUAACCUGGGAAUUGCGCUUGGAACUGGAAGGCUAGAGUGUGUCAGAGGGGGGUAGAAUUCCACGUGUAGCAGUGAAAUGCGUAGAGAUGUGGAGGAAUACCGAUGGCGAAGGCAGCCCCCUGGGAUAACACUGACGCUCAUGUACGAAAGCGUGGGUAGCAAACAGG
rnacentral:rRNA from 1 species